GCAGUAUACGACCCGAAACCGGGUGACCUACCCAUGGUCAGGUUGAAGUGGAAGUAAAAUUCCAUGGAGGACCGAACCCACGUCUGUUGAAAAAGGCGGGGAUGAGCUGUGGUUAGCGGUGAAAUUCCAAUCGAACUCGGAUAUAGCUGGUUCUCAUCGAAAUAGCUUUAGGGCUAGCCUCAGGAUAGUUUAGCGGAGGUAAAGCACUGAAUGGGCUAGGGGGCUUCACGGCUUACCGAACCCUAUCAAACUCUGAAUGCCGCAUAAAUGUUUCCUGGGAGUCAGACUGCGUGAGAUAAGUUUCGUAGUCAAAAGGGAAAGAGCCCAGACCUACAGCUAAGGUCCCUAAAUGAAUUUAAGUGGAAAAGGAUGUGCAGUUGCGUAGACAACUAGGACGUUGGCUUAGAAGCAGCCACUCAUUUAAAGAGUGCGUAAUAGCUCACUAGUCGAGUGAUUGUGCGCCGAAAAUGUAACGGGGCUAAAAUUCAUACCGAAGCUUAGGAAUGAUAGUAAUAUUGUUGGUAGAUGAGCGUUGUGUAAGUCUGCGAAGCUACACCGAAAGGAGUAGUGGAGAUAUCACAAGUGAGAAUGCCGGAAUGAGUAGCGAGAAUUAUGUGAGAAUCAUAAUGGCCGAAAAUCUAAGGUUUCUUGAGGAAGGUUCGUCCGCUCAAGGUAAGCCGGGAGCUAAGGCGAGGCCGAGAGGCGUAGUCGAUGCACAUACGGUAAAGAUUCCGUAGCCACCGAAGUCGUUAAAUACAGGGACACAGGAACAUAGCCUAACCCCACCGUUGGUUGAGUGGGGCGUAAGGGAGCGAAAAUUAGUAGCGAAGUGGGUGAUUGUACACUGGCGAGAAAAGCUGUAUGAAUUGACAAGGUGCCCGUACCGCAAACCGACACAGGUAGAUGAGGAGAGAAUCCUAAGACCAGCGGGAGAAGUGUUGUUAAGGAACUCGGCAAAAUGACCCCGUAACUUCGGGAUAAGGGGAGCCUACGAGAGUAGGCCGCAGAGAAUAGUCUCAAGCGACUGUUUAGCAAAAACACAGGUCUAUGCUAAAUCGAAAGAUGAUGUAUAUGGGCUGACGCCUGCCCGGUGCUGGAAGGUUAAGGGGAAGUGUUAGAGCAAUCGAAGCACUGAACUUAAGCCCCAGUAAACGGCGGCCGUAACUAUAACGGUCCUAAGGUAGCGAAAUUCCUUGUCAGGUAAGUUCUG
rnacentral:rRNA from 1 species